rnacentral:lncRNA from 1 species
CCGGUUUGGAGAGUGGACGAGAAGAGGAGUGGAGGAGAGGAAGCAAGAGGGCUCUUUUUGGACUGAGAUACCGUGAGGACAAGAGAUCUUCACUUCCCUGAGAGGCACAGCUGAGAACUUCUGGUGUUCCCGUUGGACCCUCCUGCUGACUCAAGCAGAGGAUAAGGCUCGGCUGUCUUUGCUAGGUUGUGUCACCACUGUUGCUAACCAGACUCUACUGAACUGCUGGUGUAUCAAUGAGGUGUUUGUGAGUGGAUCAAGCUGCUGCUACCUGCUAACCUGUGAAGUGAACUG